UUACAGUCCCACUAUUAUUUCUAUUUUCUAAGUCAGGAAGCAGGCACAGAGAGGUAAAUAAAGCUCAAGUUGACAAGCUGAGAAUCUGUAGCUAGGUUGCAAGAUGAGUAGCAAGAGCGCCUGCUGGCGGGCCACCAGCCUCCCAUCCGUUUGGUGUCCGUACUCUGGGAGGGGAGUCUGGUGCGGUGGGUUUGCGCGCUGUUUCGGCGGCUGGCGGCGGGCUGAAGCGUGGAGCUGAGCUGGGGAGGAAGCAUCGAGAGGAAGCCGCUCCCGCCUUCCUAGAGAGGAGACCGCUGCCGGGGGUCGGCGCGGGCUGUUGACGUCACGGCAGCCUGGCGGGGUCCAGGCCGCUUGCGAGCGUCCAGAAGCCCUAGGGGCGCACGAGGUGUGGGCGGCGGUGCCGGGGCCCAGCACCCGGGGAGUUGAGUCGGCCGUUCAGGGCUGCGGCGAUCUAGUCGCGGCGCCACCGUCGGAGCCGGGGCCGGUCCCCUGCAGCGCGUGAAUCUUGGAGCAGGGGUCGGGCGCCGCGAGUGGGGGCCAGCUUGCCCCGAAAAGGGACAGGAGAAGGCUGUUCGAGAGCCCUGGUCUGGGAGUCGGGAGACCGGGGUUCCAUACUUGAGGGAGGAAUCGCAUCUGAGUGCAGGGAGUUCUAAAACCUUUCCUCCGAAGAGGGGUCCUGAACAUCUUCUAAAAGACAACCUCCGGGGCGCCUGGGUGGCUCAGUCAGUUAAGCCUCCGACUUCGGCUCAGAUUCCUGCCCUUCCUCAAGGGAAGUUUCCAGGAGACAAACCAGUGUCACUUGUGUUCCUAACAGCUUAUCCCUGGGUUUUCUGUAGUGGAGAGAAUGUGUCAACCAGCUGCACACUGAGCCCAUCAGUUUCUCAUUAUAUCAGCAAAGGACUUUCUGUUUUCUACAUCAUCUUGUGAAUUUGAUUAGUAAACAUCAGAUUCUGAAGCACUUCAGUAGUGUCAAACGUGAGGCCGGAUUCUGGACCAUGAUGGUAUAGUCAAGUUACUGGCCAAUGGGAAUCUCUUCCCCAAGGACCACCCCAUCCUAAUUUUUCUCUAAACAAAACAAUAUCUUACUUGCUUUCAGUAAGCAAGGGUCUAGUUUUAAAACCUCAAGAUCUUCCAGUUGGACGUAGGGGGAGAGCUACAGAUGCUGAAUGUUUUGGAGAGAGGUCCAAAGAGAUACGUAUCAAGGCAAGAAGACCAAGCCUGAUGCAACAAACAGUGUUAAGUGACUUGCAGAAGAUGUGGAGGGUCAGGGAAGCUGGUCAGCAGGCGUUUGUAUUUGGAGAAGGUGAAGAUGCGUGCUGGACAAGGAGGAGGGGCUUCCCGCAGGCAUGCCUGAGGGCACAGUACGUGCGCGCUUACACACAGAACUUUCCCAGGACAGUGUUGCUGUAACCAGAAUCAUCUCUGAGAAAGUACCUUGUAAGUGUCAUGAAUUUGAGAGACAGUUUCCUGUAAACCUGAACCUACUGGACAGACAGUCCUUCACCGUGUUACAAGCAGCACAAGUGCCCACCGGAUUUCACUGCAAAUGAACCGUCAGGGACUUAACAUGCAGAAGAAACCUUCAAAGUGUAGUGAAUGUGGGAAAUUCUUUACUCAGAGAUCAUCUCUCACUCAGCACCAGAGGAUUCACACAGGGGAGAAGCCCUAUGUAUGUAGCGAAUGUGGAACUUGUUUCCGUAAACAGUCAAAUCUUACUCAGCACUUGAGGAUUCACACAGGAGAGAAACCUUAUAAAUGUAAUGAGUGUGAGAAAGCCUUUCAAACAAAAGCAAUCCUCGUUCAGCAUCUGAGAAUUCAUACUGGAGAGAAACCCUAUAAAUGCACCGAAUGUGGUAAAGCUUUUUGUCAGAGCCCUUCCCUUAUCAAACACCUACGCAUUCAUACUGGAGAGAAACCUUAUAAAUGCACUGAAUGUGGCAAAGCCUUCAGUCAGAGCAUAUGCCUUACUCGUCAUCAGAGAAGUCACUCUGGAGAUAAACCGUAUAAGUGUGGUGAGUGUGGGAAAGCCUUUAAUCAGAGUGCAUGCCUCAUGCAGCAUCAGAGAAUUCAUUCAGGAGAGAAGCCCUACACAUGCACUGAAUGUGGUAAAGCCUUCACUCAGAACUCUUCCCUCGUUGAGCAUGCGAGAACUCACACUGGAGAGAAACUUUACAAGUGUAGCGAGUGUGAAAAAACUUUCCGCAAGCAGGCACACCUUAGCGAACAUUACAGAAUUCACACUGGAGAAAAACCUUACGAGUGUGUUGGAUGUGGGAAAUCCUUCAGGCACAGUUCCGCACUCGUUCGACAUCAGAGGCUUCAUGUUGGAGAAUAAAACUUGGGAUGUAACCUA